rnacentral:rRNA from 1 species
CCUACGGGAGGCAGCAGUGGGGAAUAUUGGACAAUGGGCGAAAGCCUGAUCCAGCCAUGCCGCGUGUGUGAAGAAGGCCUUCGGGUUGUAAAGCACUUUCAGUGGGGAAGAAAGCCUUGGGGCUAAUACCCUCGAGGAAGGACAUCACCCACAGAAGAAGCACCGGCUAACUCCGUGCCAGCAGCCGCGGUAAUACGGAGGGUGCGAGCGUUAAUCGGAAUUACUGGGCGUAAAGCGCGUGUAGGCGGUCUGAUAAGCCGGUUGUGAAAGCCCCGGGCUCAACCUGGGAACGGCAUCCGGAACUGUCAGGCUAGAGUGCAGGAGAGGAAGGUAGAAUUCCCGGUGUAGCGGUGAAAUGCGUAGAGAUCGGGAGGAAUACCAGUGGCGAAGGCGGCCUUCUGGACUGACACUGACGCUGAGGUGCGAAAGCGUGGGUAGCAAACAGGAUUAGAUACCCGUGUAGUC